GGUUAAGCGACUAAGCGUACACGGUGGAUGCCCUGGCAGUCAGAGGCGAUGAAGGACGUGCUAAUCUGCGAUAAGCGUCGGUAAGGUGAUAUGAACCGUUAUAACCGGCGAUUUCCGAAUGGGGAAACCCAGUGUGUUUCGACACACUAUCAUUAACUGAAUCCAUAGGUUAAUGAGGCGAACCGGGGGAACUGAAACAUCUAAGUACCCCGAGGAAAAGAAAUCAACCGAGAUUCCCCCAGUAGCGGCGAGCGAACGGGGAGGAGCCCAGAGCCUGAAUCAGUGUGUGUGUUAGUGGAAGCGUCUGGAAAGGCGCGCGAUACAGGGUGACAGCCCCGUACACAAAAAUGCACAUGCUGUGAGCUCGAUGAGUAGGGCGGGACACGUGGUAUCCUGUCUGAAUAUGGGGGGACCAUCCUCCAAGGCUAAAUACUCCUGACUGACCGAUAGUGAACCAGUACCGUGAGGGAAAGGCGAAAAGAACCCCGGCGAGGGGAGUGAAAAAGAACCUGAAACCGUGUACGUACAAGCAGUGGGAGCACGCUUAGGCGUGUGACUGCGUACCUUUUGUAUAAUGGGUCAGCGACUUAUAUUCUGUAGCAAGGUUAACCGAAUAGGGGAGCCGAAGGGAAACCGAGUCUUAACUGGGCGUUAAGUUGCAGGGUAUAGACCCGAAACCCGGUGAUCUAGCCAUGGGCAGGUUGAAGGUUGGGUAACACUAACUGGAGGACCGAACCGACUAAUGUUGAAAAAUUAGCGGAUGACUUGUGGCUGGGGGUGAAAGGCCAAUCAAACCGGGAGAUAGCUGGUUCUCCCCGAAAGCUAUUUAGGUAGCGCCUCGUGAACUCAUCUCCGGGGGUAGAGCACUGUUUCGGCAAGGGGGUCAUCCCGACUUACCAACCCGAUGCAAACUGCGAAUACCGGAGAAUGUUAUCACGGGAGACACACGGCGGGUGCUAACGUCCGUCGUGAAGAGGGAAACAACCCAGACCGCCAGCUAAGGUCCCAAAGUCAUGGUUAAGUGGGAAACGAUGUGGGAAGGCCCAGACAGCCAGGAUGUUGGCUUAGAAGCAGCCAUCAUUUAAAGAAAGCGUAAUAGCUCACUGGUCGAGUCGGCCUGCGCGGAAGAUGUAACGGGGCUAAACCAUGCACCGAAGCUGCGGCAGCGACGCUUAUGCGUUGUUGGGUAGGGGAGCGUUCUGUAAGCCUGUGAAGGUGUGCUGUGAGGCAUGCUGGAGGUAUCAGAAGUGCGAAUGCUGACAUAAGUAACGAUAAAGCGGGUGAAAAGCCCGCUCGCCGGAAGACCAAGGGUUCCUGUCCAACGUUAAUCGGGGCAGGGUGAGUCGACCCCUAAGGCGAGGCCGAAAGGCGUAGUCGAUGGGAAACAGGUUAAUAUUCCUGUACUUGGUGUUACUGCGAAGGGGGGACGGAGAAGGCUAUGUUGGCCGGGCGACGGUUGUCCCGGUUUAAGCGUGUAGGCUGGUUUUCCAGGCAAAUCCGGAAAAUCAAGGCUGAGGCGUGAUGACGAGGCACUACGGUGCUGAAGCAACAAAUGCCCUGCUUCCAGGAAAAGCCUCUAAGCAUCAGGUAACAUCAAAUCGUACCCCAAACCGACACAGGUGGUCAGGUAGAGAAUACCAAGGCGCUUGAGAGAACUCGGGUGAAGGAACUAGGCAAAAUGGUGCCGUAACUUCGGGAGAAGGCACGCUGAUAUGUAGGUGAAGUCCCUCGCGGAUGGAGCUGAAAUCAGUCGAAGAUACCAGCUGGCUGCAACUGUUUAUUAAAAACACAGCACUGUGCAAACACGAAAGUGGACGUAUACGGUGUGACGCCUGCCCGGUGCCGGAAGGUUAAUUGAUGGGGUCAGCGCAAGCGAAGCUCUUGAUCGAAGCCCCGGUAAACGGCGGCCGUAACUAUAACGGUCCUAAGGUAGCGAAAUUCCUUGUCGGGUAAGUUCCGACCUGCACGAAUGGCGUAAUGAUGGCCAGGCUGUCUCCACCCGAGACUCAGUGAAAUUGAACUCGCUGUGAAGAUGCAGUGUACCCGCGGCAAGACGGAAAGACCCCGUGAACCUUUACUAUAGCUUGACACUGAACAUUGAGCCUUGAUGUGUAGGAUAGGUGGGAGGCUUGGAAGUGUGGACGCCAGUCUGCAUGGAGCCGACCUUGAAAUACCACCCUUUAAUGUUUGAUGUUCUAACGUUGACCCGUAAUCCGGGUUGCGGACAGUGUCUGGUGGGUAGUUUGACUGGGGCGGUCUCCUCCUAAAGAGUAACGGAGGAGCACGAAGGUUGGCUAAUCCUGGUCGGACAUCAGGAGGUUAGUGCAAUGGCAUAAGCCAGCUUGACUGCGAGCGUGACGGCGCGAGCAGGUGCGAAAGCAGGUCAUAGUGAUCCGGUGGUUCUGAAUGGAAGGGCCAUCGCUCAACGGAUAAAAGGUACUCCGGGGAUAACAGGCUGAUACCGCCCAAGAGUUCAUAUCGACGGCGGUGUUUGGCACCUCGAUGUCGGCUCAUCACAUCCUGGGGCUGAAGUAGGUCCCAAGGGUAUGGCUGUUCGCCAUUUAAAGUGGUACGCGAGCUGGGUUUAGAACGUCGUGAGACAGUUCGGUCCCUAUCUGCCGUGGGCGCUGGAGAACUGAGGGGGGCUGCUCCUAGUACGAGAGGACCGGAGUGGACGCAUCACUGGUGUUCGGGUUGUCAUGCCAAUGGCACUGCCCGGUAGCUAAAUGCGGAAGAGAUAAGUGCUGAAAGCAUCUAAGCACGAAACUUGCCCCGAGAUGAGUUCUCCCUGACUCCUUGAGAGUCCUGAAGGAACGUUGAAGACGACGACGUUGAUAGGCCGGGUGUGUAAGCGCAGCGAUGCGUUGAGCUAACCGGUACUAAUGAACCGUGAGGCUUAACCUU
rnacentral:rRNA from 1 species